rnacentral:lncRNA from 1 species
AGUCACCAUUGGACAUUUUACGAAUCAAGAAUAUGACGUUUUAAAUAUGGACGGUGUGUUUGAUACUUACCUGAAAGGGUGGAGUGAUGAAGAGACGAAAUUAUUUGAUUCAGUGAUAUAUAUAAUGAUAUCAUUGAGACAUUUCUAUUUUCAAAGACGCAAAGACUUAAAAGAAAGCUGAAAUUUAUUGAAAUUGUGCUUUAAAGCCGCCUCAAUUGUGACAUAACUGUUUGAUAGUACCUUCGGACAGCGCCAGGUACGAUCGAUGUUCAAGUUAUCGAUCCAUCAUAUUCCCCUGUAAGGCUGUUGUUGUUGACAAUGGAUCAUUCAGAGAGACGUAACAGACGGUGGACCUGCUGAAAGGAGUUCUCUGUUUAACUACAGCUGUGGUGUUCAAUGUGUAUGAGACAGAACGUGUACAUGAACGUCUGACACCAGGGGAACGUCGUACAUGUGAAACAACUGUCAAGAAACAGCUUCUACACAUGUAAUAGCUUUUUGAAGUGGGCGUCUCUCAAAAAAUAGCUUUAUAUAAAUGGACUUCCAAAAAGGAAUAGCUUCCAGAAGUGGACGUCUAACACGGAAUAGUUUCUCAAAGUGGGAUCCUAUAAAAAAUAGCUUCCUACAUUCGAUGUCUAACAAGGGAUAGGUUCAAGGGAUGUGGUCGUCAGUACGAGAACUGCCUCCAGAAGUGGGCGUCUAUCAAAAUAUAGGUUCUGAAAGUGGACUUCCAACAAGGAAUGGUUUCUAGAUGUGGACGUCAUUCAGAGAACAGCUUCCAGAAGUGGAGGUCUAUUGAAGAAUAAUGUGGACCUCAAUAAAGUGGACGUCUAACGAGGAAUAGCUUUCAAAAUGGACGCCUAUCUACGAAUAGCUUCUAGCUAUGGACGUCUAUCAGAGAAUAGCUUCCAUAACUGGACGUCAACCAGGGAAUAACGUUUCGAAGCGGACGCAUAUCAAGGAAUGGAUUACAUCAGUGGAUGUCUUACAUAUCCGAAUUAUGUACACUUCGAAGGAAAAUCAAGUAACAGCUCUUUGCGGUGUAUAUCACAUGGUUGAACUGUGUCCUCGUUCGUUUCAUAGACAGAUCAGAAGAGAUAAGUAAGUGAACUGAACCAGAUUCGACUCCAGGCAUGUGUCUAGCUCAGAGCAGCAUAUUACACAAAGACGUUCGGAGACGACGUUUCCGAUUUUACCACUGAAUGAUGCCUUUCAGUAGACGUCAGGGCACUUGUUCACGCUUAACAUGGGAUAAAUGUUGAGCAGACCGCCAUACCAAUGCUAGAUAAUGUAAUUGCACUCGUAUUUUCGAUCGCCUUCCAUUUCUCCAACACCAUGCGGUAAUAGACUGGAAAUAGGCCUAUAUGCCAGAACAUCUGUUAUUACAACAUAGGGUACUGCAGGAAGUUGGCAUCGAUUUCCCCUAUUAAGUGGCAGUGUUGCACUUGGAGACAGAGUUGAGGCACUGAAGCUGUGCAAAGUGUGGUAUUGUCAUGGGACGUCUCACAGACCUCGGGUGGUUCUCGCCGAACGAGAAACGUUGGAUUCAGCUCAGAUCAUUUACACUUUAUUCUUUUCAACAGGAACGGGACUAGACGGUGUAUUCAAUAUUGAUAUAAACUGACAAUUAAUACGCUUCAAAGUUGCAGAGGGAUAUAGUUUAAUCUCGUUAAGUAAAUCAAAAAUGACAUGAAAAGAAUCUCAAUCAAAUGAAUUACUUAUAUGAAUGUUCCUACUUUGAACAUAACUAAAUAAAGUUUGCAAUGAAUUCAAAUGUAAAAUAAAACAAAUGUUUUACAUUUCUAUACAUGUAUACAAAUAUUAAAUGUAACUGUCAAGAGCAUUCUAAGGUGUGCCUAUAUCGUAGUACAGAAAAUGAUGAGUCAGCAAACAGAUAUAACGGUAGUUCUAUAUUAAGUACCUUCUACGUUAAAUGCAUCCCUUUUAUCGCUGGAAAUAGAUGAGCCGUGAGCUGCAAUGAAGCUUAAUGGGAGGCUGAUUAGGGAGGUAUCAGUGUCCACAACAACUGUAAAGGUUAAUACGGUGGCCCGAGCUUCGUGUCUAGGGUUACACUAUAUUCAGAUUAAAACUUGGUUUCCACCUUCUGGACGGUGUAGCUAAGUGUAUUGAGUGCGUGCGUGAUUUGGAACGGGAAAUCGGAGAGUUUGAUUGGGACACCUGUUUCCAGGAAGAGAACGACGUGAGCUUUGUUGAUAGUGUUGGUUGUAGGUCUGCCGGGAUGGGUAAAGAAUAAUAAAGCUUUGUGAUGGGUGAUGUGGAGGGCAUUUCAAAAUGUGACACUUAAGUGACAAAUGCCAGUUGCAUGUGCAGCAGUUUAAUACUUUGACCUUGUUCCCGAGUUGAUUUUUUCAGGUGAACGCUUGACAUGCUUUUGCAUGUAUUUCGGACAGGUGCUACGGGUUGGGCAGGACUCUUUCGCCAGUUUCACGGACACCAGGUGUCAUUCCCAUUUGAUACCGGUUCAUAAAUACAUGCUUUUGUUAACGUGAAUUGACGAAUUACAAUAGUAGAAAGAUGUUUGUCUUGUAUUUAUACAGACUAUACCAAUAUGAUGGGAAGGAGUUAUUUUGUGUUUCAACACAGGGGACACUAACACUACUGUUAGAAUAACAGAUUGCACUGUUAUUCUAUUUCAACAGCAUUAACUUGCUAUGAUAAUAAAGUCAAGCAUAUACAUAC